GGGGAUGUAGCUCAGUGGAAGAGUGCAUGCUUUGCAUGUAUGAAGUCCUGGGUUCAACCCCCAGCAUCUCCA
rnacentral:tRNA from 1 species